rnacentral:rRNA from 1 species
ACGGAAGGCAGCAGUGGGGAAUAUUGCACAAUGGGCGAAAGCCUGAUGCAGCGACGCCGCGUGAGCGAAGAAGUAUUUCGGUAUGUAAAGCUCUAUCAGCAGGGAAGAUAAUGACGGUACCUGACUAAGAAGCACCGGCUAAAUACGUGCCAGCAGCCGCGGUAAUACGUAUGGUGCAAGCGUUAUCCGGAUUUACUGGGUGUAAAGGGAGCGCAGGCGGUACGGCAAGUCUGAUGUGAAAGCCCGGGGCUCACCCCCGGUACUGCAUUGGAAACUGUCGAACUAGAGUGUCGGAGGGGUAAGUGGAAUUCCUAGUGUAGCGGUGAAAUGCGUAGAUAUUAGGAGGAACACCAGUGGCGAAGGCGGCUUACUGGACGAUAACUGACGCUGAGGCUCGAAAGCGUGGGGAGCAAACAGGAUUAGAUACCCUGGUA